rnacentral:rRNA from 1 species
GCCAGACUCCUACGGGAGGCAGCAGUGGGGAAUAUUGCACAAUGGGGGAAACCCUGAUGCAGCGACGCCGCGUGAGUGAAGAAGUAUCUCGGUACGUAAAGCUCUAUCAGCAGGGAAGAAAAUGACGGUACCUGACUAAGAAGCCCCGGCUAACUACGUGCCAGCAGCCGCGGUAAUACGUAGGGGGCAAGCGUUAUCCGGAUUUACUGGGUGUAAAGGGUGCGCAGGCGGUCUGUUAAGUCAGCGGUCAAAGCCCGGGGCUCAACCCCGUACUGCCGUUGAAACUGCAUCCCUUGAGUGCGCGAGAAGUAUGCGGAAUGCGUGGUGUAGCGGUGAAAUGCAUAGAUAUCACGCAGAACUCCGAUUGCGAAGGCAGCAUACCGGCGCUCAACUGACGCUCAUGCACGAAAGUGUGGGUAUCGAACAGGAUUAGAUACCCGAGUAU